GUCCACGCCGUAAACGAUGGACACUAGGUGUGGGGGGGUAUCGACCCCCUCCGUGCCGGAGCUAACGCAAUAAGUGUCCCGCCUGGGGAGUACGGCCGCAAGGCUAAAACUCAAAGGAAUUGACGGGGGCCCGCACAAGCAGCGGAGCGUGCGGUUUAAUUCGUCGCAACGCGAAGAACCUUACCAAGGCUUGACAUGCUAGUGGUACCGAACCGAAAGGUGAGGGACCCUUCGGGGAGCUAGCACAGGUGCUGCAUGGCUGUCGU
rnacentral:rRNA from 1 species